UACGUAGGGUGCAAGCGUUAAUCGGAAUUACUGGGCGUAAAGCGUGCGCAGGCGGUUAUGUAAGACAGAUGUGAAAUCCCCGGGCUCAACCUGAGAACUGCAUUUGUGACUGCAUAGCUAGAGUACGGUAGAGGGGGAUGGAAUUCCGCGUGUAGCAGUGAAAUGCGUAGAUAUGCGGAGGAACACCGAUGGCGAAGGCAAUCCCCUGGACCUGUACUGACGCUCAUGCACGAAAGCGUGGGGAGCAAACAGG
rnacentral:rRNA from 1 species